rnacentral:rRNA from 1 species
CUACGGGUCGCUCCAGUGGGGAAUAUUGCACAAUGGAGGAAACUCUGAUGCAGCAACGCCGCGUGGAGGAUGACACUUUUCGGAGCGUAAACUCCUUUUAUAUAGGAAGAAGAUGACGGUACUAUAUGAAUAAGCGCCGGCUAACUCCGUGCCAGCAGCCGCGGUAAUACGGAGGGCGCAAGCGUUACUCGGAAUCACUGGGCGUAAAGAGCGUGUAGGCGGAUUAAAAAGUCAGAAGUGAAAUCCUAUAGCUUAACUAUAGAACUGCUUCUGAAACUCUUAAUCUAGAAUAUGGGAGAGGUAGAUGGAAUUUCUGGUGUAGGGGUAAAACCCGUAGAGAUCAGAAGGAAUACCUAAAGCGAAGGCGAUCUACUAGAACAUUAUUGACGCUGAGACGCGAAAGCGUGGGGAGCAAACAGGAUUAGAUACCCCGGUAGUC